UAACGUUUAGUAGGGGCACGC
rnacentral:siRNA from 1 species